rnacentral:rRNA from 1 species
AUCUAAGAGAUUAGACGUUCCCUUCGGGGACAUGGAUACAGGUGGUGCAUGGUUGUCGUCAGCUCGUGUCGUGAGAUGUUGGGUUAAGUCCCGCAACGAGCGCAACCCUUAUUAUCAGUUGCCAGCAUUAAGUUGGGCACUCUGGUGAGACUGCCGGUGACAAACCGGAGGAAGGUGGGGAUGACGUCAAAUCAUCAUGCCCCUUAUGACCUGGGCUACACACGUGCUACAAUGGAUGGUACAACGAGUUGCGAACUCGCGAGAGUAAGCUAAUCUCUUAAAUCCUUUCUCAGUUCGGAUUGUAGGCUGCAUUCUUCCUACAUGAAUUCGGACUCGCUAGUACUCUCGGAUCAGAUCGCCCUGGAGAAUACUUUCCCUGGAUUUGUUUACACUUCACGCUAAGUCUUGCGACCGUCUAUGAGUCAUCUA